rnacentral:rRNA from 1 species
ACUUGCUGGCUUUGUCUGAUUUGGAAAGUUAAGCAGAGUUGGGCCUGAUUAGUACUCGAAUAGGAGACUGUUUGGGGAUAGCAGGUGCUGCAAACU